AAACUUUCAACAACGGAUCUCUUGGUUCUGGCAUCGAUGAAGAACGCAGCGAAAUGCGAUAAGUAAUGUGAAUUGCAGAAUUCAGUGAAUCAUCGAAUCUUUGAACGCACAUUGCGCCCCCCAGCAUUCUGGCGGGCAUGCCUGUCCGAGCGUCAUUU
rnacentral:rRNA from 1 species